rnacentral:rRNA from 1 species
UACGUAGGGUGCAAGCGUUUAAUCGGAAUUACUGGGCGUAAAGCGUGCGCAGGCGGUUGUGCAAGACAGAUGUGAAAUCCCCGGGCUCAACCUGGGAAUUGCAUUUGUGACUGCACGGCUAGAGUGUGUCAGAGGGGGGUAGAAUUCCACGUGUAGCAGUGAAAUGCGUAGAGAUGUGGAGGAAUACCGAUGGCGAAGGCAGCCUCCUGGGCCAACACUGACGCUCAUGCACGAAAGCGUGGGGAGCAAACAGG